GGUUUCGGGACGGUCCUGUGUAUUGCCAUGUUUUUCUUGUUUUAUGCAUUUUUGUAUGUAUAUUUGUAGGUCAUAUUAUGAAUAUUUAUUUUUGUGUGCCUUUUGUAUAUUACUUAGGUGAGGCUUAGUAUAUAUAGGGAAGUGAGGUGCUAUCAAGUGCGUUCUGGGUGGCCAGUGGUGACGUGACCAGGGCUGUGUCAACACCAGGGUCGUGUUGGUUGUGUGGGGUGCACCUGGGCCCUGUGUUGGCCUUUGAAGCACGGACGCCCAGCACUCUGCCGCCACCAUCAACACUAACGUGAUCGUCACCUCGAGCGGGUAGGUGACGUGGCUGUCUCACGGCAUCUACAAGUCCUCCUGUGACAUGAACGUGGAGUUUUUCCCCUUUGAUGUCCAGUCCUGCAAGAUGUGGGCGUCCUGGACCUACGACGGCUACCAGCAUCUCACACACCUGCACAUCAGAGGCCACACAGUCACCAUACCCACGCACUGCACGCCGCUGCACGCCCUGGCUACUGCUCACGGGUUGUGUUUUCAAAUUACAAGCAGUAACCAAACGGUCCCACAUUGGACCUUCGCGCGCCAAGUAGUGACGUCAAGUUUGCUGCUGGCGGAGAGACACACCUCCCUGACGGUGAGACGGUGCCACCUCAUCAUUCAUUUCCUGCAUUGUUUUAUCCUUAUAUGUGAUUUUUUUAAUCUGUGAUGGUUUCUGAUGAAACUUACAGUGUUAUCAUAGCAUAAUUUUAAGGGUUUAUAAGGACAGUGGAUGUACGUAUAGUUUAGUAACAUCACUACCUCAUCGUAACUAUACUACUUGCCUCCGCCCCUCCCUCUCUCCUUUCCUCCUUUCGUCCCUCCUUCCUUCAACCGUCUCUUCCCUACGCCUUCCCACCGCCGCAUAUCCAGACACCUCUGUGCACCACAACAAAUUUGAAAAGAGGAUAUGCAGGGAAGAGUUUCAAGUCAUAGUAAAAUAUUGGUAACACUUCAGAAGACGUGGAAGAAAUCGUAUUCAAUCUUAUGUAGGCUGCUCAUAUAUUCAUAAUCCUAUAUACAGGUUUGGGCGUGUCUUGUAUUACGCAUGUCAUCUUUCCUUUUCGUUAUCGUUGUUGUUAUGGUUCUUCUCCUCCUCCUCCUCCUCCUCUUCCUCUUCCUCCUCCUCCUCCUCUUCCUCCUCCUCUUGCAGCACUGAAUCUGAGAUGCUUGGGGUUACUCCAUCUUCGUAACGCUUCCCCUUAAGGCAAAUCUUUUCGAUAUUGGAACACUUCCCGCCACGGACGAGUGACAACCCCGCGCGUCCUGACAACCCUAGGAAUCCAAUAAGUGUCGCCAGAAUUUACGACGCUUCGUGAAUAGAAUGAAGUAGAUGGCGACCUGGCAGCGCUACCCCCGCUAAAUCCAGUAAUAGUGGAAGUAAUAGCAGGAGUAUUAGUACGUACGGAGCGGUUUAAGCAGUAGUAGCAGUAGUAGUAGUAGUAGUAGUAGUAGUAGUAGUAGUAGUAGUAGUGGAUAGUAGCAGCCUCAAUGAUAACAAAAAGCAACACUAUAGGCAAAGUUACAUUGUGUGCGUUUGUAUCAUCUGUCUAUUCAGCUGUAAAUGUACCCCAUGUGUGAGUGUGUGUGUGUGUAUGUAUGUAUGUGUGUGUGUGUGUGUGUGUUGUGCUACACCAGUGAGCUCAGCCACAGUGGUAUAUCACGGUGUGUGCCGGUGUGUGCGUGGCGUGUGGUACCUCUGACAGCGUCCAUCAUGAAAAAAUGCUUUGAACUCCGGAACAACUUGUCGACAGGGAAUAAUGUCCAGCCCCGAAACGAUGCCGCUCAGAUGGACUGUAACACAUCGCCCCAAAUCGUAUUAGUCGCCUGGUAUUAUGUUACCGUCAGAAUGUAGCAUCGAUUACGUCAUUAAAACCCCUACAGGUUAGAUAUUCCUGCAGCAAGGUUACGUCAAUAUCGAUCGGUUAUUGAAAUAUUUUCACGACAUGAGCGAAAUCAUACUGUAUAUCACUAGA